rnacentral:lncRNA from 1 species
AGGAGCUAGACUCUUCAGUACAACAUUGGCUUUUCUCCCCUCUGUGGAGACUUGGAGACAUUUCAUAUCUACAAAUGGAGCUCAGGAACUUUGGAUUAAGGCUAACCUUGCUUAAAGAUCAGCUAUAAUCAAGCUGUAUGGGGAUAACACCUGUGAUCCCAGCACUCGGAAAGCAGAGGCAGGAGGAUGAUAAGAUCACAGUAAAUCUGCACUACAUAGAGAGGAAGAGCCUUCGAUUGCCACUGCCUUUAGAGCUUCACUCUUGGUACCAAAUCACAGGAGGUCUGUCCAGAGUAACCAGGAAAUGUGACGACGGGCUCUGUGAAAGGAAAGUCCCUGGCUUUUCACCCAAAGCAAUGCAAGUCUUGGUUUGAGAGGACCAGG